rnacentral:rRNA from 1 species
CCCGUCGUCGCCUUGGUAGGCCAUUACCCCACCAACAAGCUGAUAGGCCGCGGGCCCACUCAUCCUGCACCAGUAAACCUUUCCAACCCCCGCCAUGCGACAGGAGCUCAUAUCCGGUAUUAGACCCAGUUUCCCAGGCUUAUCCCAGAGUGCAGGGCAGAUCACCCACGUGUUACUCACCCGUUCGCCACUCGUGUACCCCCGAAGGGGCCUUACCGUUCGACUUGCAUGUGUUAAGCACGCCGCCAGCGUUCGUCCUGAGCCAUGAU